GAACGGUGAACACGGAGCUUGCUCUGUGGGAUCAGUGGCGAACGGGUGAGUAACACGUGAGCAACCUGCCCCUGACUCUGGGAUAAGCGCUGGAAACGGCGUCUAAUACUGGAUACGAGUAGCGGCCGCAUGGUCAGUUACUGGAAAGAUUUUUUGGUUGGGGAUGGGCUCGCGGCCUAUCAGCUUGUUGGUGAGGUAAUGGCUCACCAAGGCGUCGACGGGUAGCCGGCCUGAGAGGGUGACCGGCCACACUGGGACUGAGACACGGCCCAGACUCCUACGGGAGGCAGCAGUGGGGAAUAUUGCACAAUGGGCGAAAGCCUGAUGCAGCAACGCCGCGUGAGGGAUGACGGCCUUCGGGUUGUAAACCUCUUUUAGCAGGGAAGAAGCGAAAGUGACGGUACCUGCAGAAAAAGCGCCGGCUAACUACGUGCCAGCAGCCGCGGUAAUACGUAGGGCGCAAGCGUUAUCCGGAAUUAUUGGGCGUAAAGAGCUCGUAGGCGGUUUGUCGCGUCUGCUGUGAAAUCCCGAGGCUCAACCUCGGGCCUGCAGUGGGUACGGGCAGACUAGAGUGCGGUAGGGGAGAUUGGAAUUCCUGGUGUAGCGGUGGAAUGCGCAGAUAUCAGGAGGAACACCGAUGGCGAAGGCAGAUCUCUGGGCCGUAACUGACGCUGAGGAGCGAAAGGGUGGGGAGCAAACAGGCUUAGAUACCCUGGUAGUCCACCCCGUAAACGUUGGGAACUAGUUGUGG
rnacentral:rRNA from 1 species